rnacentral:rRNA from 1 species
UGAGGAAUAUUGGUCAAUGGGGGCAACCCUGAACCAGCCAAGUCGCGUGAAGGAUGAAGGUCUUAUGGAUUGUAAACUUCUUUUACACGGGAAUAAAGUGGGGGACGUGUCCCCCUUUGCAUGUACCGUGUGAAUAAGGAUCGGCUAACUCCGUGCCAGCAGCCGCGGUAAUACGGAGGAUCCGAGCGUUAUCCGGAUUGAUUGGGUUUAAAGGGUGCGCAGGCGGGAUGUUAAGUCGGCGGUGAAAUUUUGCAGCUCAACUGUAAAAGUGCCUUCGAUACUGGCCUCCUUGAGUGUGGAUGAAGUAGGCGGAAUUUGUGGUGUAGCGGUGAAAUGCUUAGAUAUCACGAGGAACUCCGAUUGCGCAGGCAGCUUACUAAGCCACAACUGACGCUCAUGCACGAAGGCGUGGGGAUCAAACA